UUUUGUUAACUGUGACCGUCAAGGCUUUUUAGAAUUCCUAGGGUUUUGAACAAGUUAACCUCUCCCCAAAAUUGACCGUCACGUUCCAUAUCUCCCAACAGGGCUUAGCAAUUCGCGGCUAUUUGAUUUUGAAGAACUGAUCCUACUUUCGUGAUUGCCAUAAAUACAGGUUUUCACCAUCUCUAUUGAUAUGAAUGAUUUGAAGUUAGUUUUGGAUUGUGGUGAGAAGAUCAAGUUACUUGUUGACAAGACAGAAACCUUCAAUUUCAGAUUGAAAAGCUGAACUUGGCUGUGAAGAAGAAGAUCAUCAAGCAAAAAGGAAAAAGAGGAAGACCAAGAAAGGUUAAAUGGGGUGAAAGUGAGGUUGUUGGCCGAAAAAGAUAAGGUGGAUAAAGAAGCUAUGCUCAAUAAGAUGACACAAAUUGAAGAUAUGUUAACAGCUACGGUUCGAAGAUAGGCUAUAAACACUAGGUUUUGAAUGUUGAGAUGUUUAUCAUAUAGGAUAAUUACGGUUAUUUGAUGUUUAGUUGAUAUUUUUAUUAGAAUGUUUUAUAUGAUUUUCAAAUAGGAAAAACUAAAUCAGAGAUGUUUUAUAUAGUUUUUGGGGUUUGUAAUUUUAUUAGAGUGUUUAAUACAGUUCUGUAAUUUUAAUGAAGAAAUGUAAAAACUG
rnacentral:lncRNA from 1 species